GACGAACGCUGGCGGCGUGCUUAACACAUGCAAGUCGAACGGAAAGGCUCCAGCUUGCUGGAGUACUCGAGUGGCGAACGGGUGAGUAACACGUGGGUAAUCUGCCCUGCACUCUGGGAUAAGCCUGGGAAACUGGGUCUAAUACUGGAUAUGACCUUUCUCUUUAUGGGGUUUGGUGGAAAGUUUUUCGGUGUAGGAUGAGCCCGCGGCCUAUCAGCUUGUUGGUGGGGUGAUGGCCUACCAAGGCGACGACGGGUAGCCGGCCUGAGAGGGUGAUCGGCCACAUUGGGACUGAGAUACGGCCCAGACUCCUACGGGAGGCAGCAGUGGGGAAUAUUGCACAAUGGGCGGAAGCCUGAUGCAGCGACGCCGCGUGAGGGAUGACGGCCUUCGGGUUGUAAACCUCUUUCAGCAGGGACGAAGCGUAAGUGACGGUACCUGCAGAAGAAGCACCGGCUAACUACGUG
rnacentral:rRNA from 1 species